rnacentral:rRNA from 1 species
GACGAACGCUGGCGGCGUGCCUAAUACAUGCAAGUAGAACGCUGAAACUUGGUGCUUGCACCGAGCGGAUGAGUUGCGAACGGGUGAGUAACGCGUAGGUAACCUGCCUGGUAGCGGGGGAUAACUAUUGGAAACGAUGGCUAAUACCGCAUAAGAGCAGACGUUGCAUGACAUUUGCUUAAAAGGUGCAAUUGCACCACUACCAGAUGGACCUGCGUUGUAUUAGCUAGUUGGUGGGGUAACGGCUCACCAAGGCGACGAUACAUAGCCGACCUGAGAGGGUGAUCGGCCACACUGGGACGGAGACACGGCCCAGACGCCUACGGGAGGCAGCAGUAGGGAAUCUUCGGCAAUGGGCGGAAGUCUGACCGAGCAACGCGGCGUGAGUGAAGAAGGUUUUCGGAUCGUAAAGCUCGGUUGUAAGAGAAGAACGAGUGUGAGAGUGGAAAGUUCACACUGUGACGGUAUCUUACCAGAAAGGGACGGCUAACUACGUG